ensembl:lncRNA
GAACUGUAAGUCAGACUUUUGUGCUCUUAUUGGGGAGAAGAGGAUUUUUCUCCAUCGUCCAGCGUGAGCAGCAAACAGGCCUGCAACAAGUGUGAAUAUCACAGACCCAACAGCAGCAGCAACAAGAAGCAAACCAAAAAACGUCAAUGCAACAGUUCCUCCUGUCCGACCUGCAGACUACCAGCCAGAAAGACAACAGCUGGAGAAACAUCUGUCUACCUCUGACAUCCACCAGCUCAUCCAUACAGCAAACAAACAUCAACAACCAAGAAGCAGCUUCACCUCUGAUCACACACACACUCAACUCUACUCACUCACCUGGAUCAACUCUCAGGUGAAUGAAGCUGACACCCACAUUAGCUCUCUUUCUGCGGUGGGUUUCUUUUGUAAUGACACGACACAUGUAUGUUGCAGCAUCAUUAAUCGUCACAUCCUUCAGAAUCAAAGACACGUCUCCAUCCUUCAUCUGUCUGUCCUGCAGAUCCACCCGGUUCUUAAAAGAUGGAUGCUGCUCAUCAAGAUCAAUUGUGGUACAAAAGGACAUUUUCAUCUUCCAGAGACGAGCAGGAGGCAGACACACAGCAAAGUCCAGCAGAGAGACGCAGAAGCUACAGCAGACAUUUCUCACAGAUGUCUGAAUGAUGGUGCGAUUGUUUGAGAAUGCCAUGAAUAAAAACCUGACUAGACCGCAAGUUAUAAAAGGAAUUCAAAGUAAUUAAAAUUUUUUCCAGGUGUGGGUGUGUGGG